rnacentral:rRNA from 1 species
GACGAACGCUGGCGGCGUGCUUAACACAUGCAAGUCGAACGGAAAGGCCCUGCUUUUGUGGGGUGCUCGAGUGGCGAACGGGUGAGUAACACGUGAGUAACCUGCCCUUGACUUUGGGAUAACUUCAGGAAACUGGGGCUAAUACCGGAUAGGAGCUCCCGCUGCAUGGUGGGGGUUGGAAAGUUUCGGCGGUUGGGGAUGGACUCGCGGCUUAUCAGCUUGUUGGUGGGGUAGUGGCUUACCAAGGCUUUGACGGGUAGCCGGCCUGAGAGGGUGACCGGCCACAUUGGGACUGAGAUACGGCCCAGACUCCUACGGGAAGCAGCAGUGGGGAAUAUUGCACAAUGGGCGGAAGCCUGAUGCAGCAACGCCGCGUGCGGGAUGACGGCCUUCGGGUUGUAAACCGCUUUCGCCUGUGACGAAGCGUGAGUGACGGUAAUGGGUAAAGAAGCACCGGCUAACUACGUG